GCCCCGCACGCCGCGCCCGUGUCUCACCCCCACAACAACCCUCAUAUUAAACCUCUCAACCCACCUUUUCAGAAAACCAGUGAUAACAUACGAAGAACACACGUCACGCGGCCGGAUUUCAAAGGCCGAAAGUCAUCGAUAGGAUACGCGACACAGAACUACCAUUUUACAGAUAAGAAGUGUCGCCGCCGACUCGUCGUCACGUCGUCUCGUACCGAAGAACCGAAGAGAUGACGCCGCAUCCGAUAGCUCCAAAACCCGAAGAGUCCAUUCAUGUGUACUACCCACUGAAAAGAAAGAUUUAGUAAGCCAAAGUCUGGACAAUCAUCGGUAAUUCAUAAAAUAAAUUGGUUAGACAUAGAUAACUUACCUAAUAUAAUAGCCAAAUGUCCAUAUAAAUCACGAUGUGGUACGCUUGGCUCGGUGAUUCAUAGCACAAAAUUCGAUUCGGUUAGUAUAGACUACAUACUAUAGAUAGUGCAGGUAGAUUUGAUUUCGAAUCGGAUAUUUGAUCUGG